CGCUCCACAUCGAAUGCUAAACAAGGUGCUGUCACUCUAAACAAAGCUGCAACUCCGGGACUCUAAAAAUGGAAUCAAGACGGGACUCUGCCUGAAAACUGACCCAAGAAGAGGAAGCAAGCUGCAAGCGAGUUGCUACCACAAGCAACGAGACUGAGGCCCAGCUGGAGGACUGUUAUCAGACAAACCAGUCUAGGUCUGCAGUACACCUAAAACCAUAGUAUCCAAAAGAAACUGUGCCCUGCUACUGGCGUAGCUAAAAGAUUCAGCGAAGAGGACAGAGCGGACGGGCGCUGUUAUGGAUCCUAUACUGAGGACUAAAGACUUUGUUGCAGCUUUUUGUUGAUUCUAUCAUGAACUGAAAGCUUUGUUACCGAGUUUGAUCCAAUGUAAGAUUGAACACUUAGUUGCUGAGAGGAGAGUUUUUGUACUGGACACUUCAACAGAUUGAGUUUCCAAGCCAGCAGACCAAAAGUCUAAGUUUCAAGGAACCUGCCAGUGAAAAUCAGCAUAGACAACUUUCCUGAUCCAAAAAGACUGGUGGUGAUUGUUAUACAGUUUGAUGUACUUACAGGAGGUCUGCAAUCCACCACAACAGAAACUGGCUACCUCGCCUAUCGAAAACCGAACUGUAAAUGGUCCAUUAACAAUGCCUUAAGCAGGGAUAAUCAUGCCCCUCUUAAUUCACAAUACAACAAUUUAAAAAAAUGCAAAUGUGUAACGAGCAAAAGUUCAUUAAGUAAAAGUAUUGUAGAGGACAGAAAAGGUUUAAAAACAGUAAAAAAAAAGUUUAUAUAUAUAUAUAUUAUACACACACACACUUUUUUUUUUUCGUUUAAGUCAACACCUCCGAAGGUAUCUGUAUUUACUAAAAUAUAGCAAUUCAGGACAUCCUAAAUAUUUAAUAUAUAAUAUUUAAUAUAUUCUUAAAAUGGUAUAAAAUAAGAAAUGUAGCAAUUCCAAUGACAGAUCACCACAAACCAUAUCCUCAGCAAGUUUCAUCAGAUUAAUGUAAAUGCAACAUACAGAUGUCAGGACUGCCCAGUCCCUGACCACAUUCCGGCGCCUCCUUAAGACUCACCUCUUCAAAGAGCACCUGUAGAACUCCUCUGUUGUAUCCUGGGACACUAUCACCCUUCAUUUUAAAUAUGCUUUAUUUUGCUCUUAUCUGCCCCCUAUUUUACUGCAUUUAAUCCUGUACCUCAGAAUAUUGUAAUCUGCCAAGUGUUUAAUCUGUAGUAUUUUGUACUUAAUCAUAUCCUGAUGUAACUAUCACUAUUUAAUCAUAUCCUGAUGUAACUUUCACUAUUAUCUGCUGUAUUAUUGAAUUGUGGUUUGUCACACUUGAGAAUUAUUGUAUUUCUUGUUCUUAUUGUAUGACUUAUAUUGUAACACUUGAAUGUAUUUGUAUUUGCUUUUGAUUGUAAGUCGCCCUGGAUAAGGGCGUCUGCUAAGAAAUAAAUAAUAAUAAUAAUAAUACAGAUAGUCAGACAAAUUGCUUCACUACUCCCUAAGAAUAUUUCUGAAGGUAAAAUGAAGAACACCUAUCCCACUGAAUCACUCUGCAUGUACAGUAAAAAAAAGAUAAUGUUUAGGUUCUGGCUGAUUAAAAUCUUUUGCCUAUUGCGUAUAAAGGGAAGAAUGAUCUAGGUCAGGGAUUCUGAGUACACAGGAGUCUCGGUGGGGUUAAUGAGAAGGGAAUAUUCUUUCCAUAACAUUUGUGUUUAUAUAAUAUAUAUGGGGCAGCAGUGUGGAGUAGUGGUUAGGGCUCUGGAUUCUUGACCGGAGGGUUGUGGGUUCAAUCCA